CCGCUAUGUUGAUAAUUUCUAACUAUCUCCUUAAACCUCUCCUAUGCUUCAAAAAUAGUUUCAGUUUCUUUCUGGGAGAAUUUUUGAAUUUCUCUUCUAAACUU
rnacentral:snoRNA from 1 species